rnacentral:rRNA from 1 species
CGUAGGGUGCAAGCGUUGUCCGGAAUUAUUGGGCGUAAAGAGCUCGUAGGCGGUUUGUUGCGUCGGCUGUGAAAUCCCGAGGCUCAACCUCGGGUCUGCAGUCGAUACGAGCAAACUAGAGUGUUGCAGGGGAGACUGGAAUUCCCGGUGUAGUGGUGGAAUGCGUAGAUAUCGGUAGGAACACCUGUGGCGAAGGCGGUCUCCUGGGGCAGACUUGACGCUGAGGCGCGAAAGCUGGGGGAGCGAACGGG